rnacentral:lncRNA from 1 species
GCUCUUUCCGUAGUGGCUGUAUCUGCAUCCUGUCUCUGUUUCUCUCUCUCCCCCGUCACUUUCCCUCCCUCACCUUCUUUCUCCUCUUCAAUUUCCGGGUUCACCCCCACUCGCGCCCACCGGCAUCCCCCAGACUGAGGCCCUGCAGGGUCCUGGGUGGGAGCUCAGUGCGGUUGCAGGUGGUGCCCUCUAGAUGUUUCUGCAGUCGGAACAUUUCUAUGAUUCAGCUGCCAGCAUUAAAGUUUUAAACAACGGCCACUUUGGAAAGCCUUUCCCAUCCUCCUGUCCCGGGUUCCUCUAGGACUAAAAACACGUAGUCCACAGUGAAAUGCUUGGUCCCUCCCGGCACCCUGUGGCGAAUGCCUUCCUUAACUGAGCAUGUAUUGGGUGCCAGGCCCCCUCCAGGCGAGGGUCUGCAUGGUGAGCAAACUCCAGUCCCUGCCCCGUGGAGCUGUCCUCUGGAGGCCAGGAGAGGGCGACAGCGCUUUGGCGGCACAGCCCGCUGGUGUCCUUCCCACGUGUGUCUUCCCCUUCCCGGGCCUGGGGGGAAUCCAGGUGAGCGUGACAGGUGAAGUGCAGGGAAGAAUGGCAAAUGAAUGACUUUGGCGCAAGAGGCUGUGGUCUCACCUGAAGCGAGGCGGCUUCAGAGGUGGUGCUUUGACCUUUCAGGCAGCAACCUCAUCCUUUGUCUCUCACUUCCUGCCCUCGCUCUCCCUUGCUCCGUGGGCGCAGGUGGGGCAGCGGCCGGAUCUCAGCCCUGAAUAGUCACCGAGUUCUGCUCUGCGCGGUGUUUUCUCCUGGUCCUUAUCAGAUGCCAUUGGUCUCUCUGCAACAUUUGGGGCACCGAAGCCAACUUGACCUGCCUGAUGCAAACAUCUGGAUUCCAGGGGAACUACCAGGGCCAGUGGCUGAAGGCACAAGCAUCGAAUCACCAGCUCUUCAGACUCCAGGCUCUCCCUGAGAAAACUGAAGUUCUCAUCUCCUUUGGGCAAAGAAUGUGGACAGAGGACACCGCUGGGCUUUCCUCAUACAGGACUCAUCAGCAAUGCUCAGAGAGUUUGAAAAACAAGCCCAGGAUCCCCACAUAGCAGUGAAUUUUUCAUUCCAGGCAGUCGA